AUUGAACGCUGGCGGCAUGCUUUACACAUGCAAGUCGAACGAGUGGCGAACGGGUGAGUAAUCUAUCGGCACGUACCGAGUAAUGGGGGAUAACCAAUCGAAAGAUUGGCUAAUACCGCAUAUUAUUAGAGAGGCAGAUAACUGCUUCACUAGUUGGUGGGGUGAAGGCAUACAAAGGCGGCGAUCAGUAGCGGGUAUGAGAGGACGAUCCGCCACCCUGGUACUGAGACGCGUCCCCUCCUCCUACGGGAGGCAGCAGUGGGGAAUUUUGGACAAUGGGGGCAACCCUGUUCCAGCCAUGCCGCGUGUAUGAAGAAGGCCUUCGGGUUGGAAAGUACUUUUGUUAGGGCAGCGGUACCUAAAGAAUAAGCACCGGCGGACUACGUGCCAGCAGCCACGGUAAUUC
rnacentral:rRNA from 1 species